UACAGGGGGGGCAAGCGUUGUCCGGAAUUAUUGGGCGUAAAGGGCUCGUAGGCGGUUUGUCACGUCGGGAGUGAAAACUCAGGGCUUAACCCUGAGCCUGCUUCCGAUACGGGCAGACUAGAGGUAUGCAGGGGAGAAUGGAAUUCCUGGUGUAGCGGUGAAAUGCGCAGACAUCAGGAGGAACACCGGUGGCGAAGGCGGUUCUCUGGGCAUUACCUGACGCUGAGGAGCGAAAGUGUGGGGAGCGAACAGG
rnacentral:rRNA from 1 species